UUUUUUUUUUUUUUUUUUUUUUUUUUUCUCCU
rnacentral:ribozyme from 1 species